UACGUAGGGUGCAAGCGUUAAUCGGAAUUACUGGGCGUAAAGCGUGCGCAGGCGGUUUGUUAAGUCUGCUGUGAAAUCCCCGAGCUCAACUUGGGAAUUGCAGUGGAUACUGGCAGGCUGGAGUAUGGUAGAGGAAGGUGGAAUUCCCGGUGUAGCAGUGAAAUGCGUAGAGAUCGGGAGGAACACCAGUGGCGAAGGCGGCCUUCUGGACCAAUACUGACGCUCAUGCACGAAAGCGUGGGGAGCAAACAGG
rnacentral:rRNA from 1 species